ensembl:lncRNA
CCACAUGUCAUGAAAUGUUUUCCUUUUGAUUUUUUUCAGCUGUUCAAAUGUGUAGAAACCAGUCUUAGCUCAUGGGCUCUAUAAAAGCAAAUGGAUGGCAGGCCAGGUGGGUCCGUGGGCUGUAGUUUGCCAAUCUCUGGUCUAGAAUAAAAUAGAAAAAAAUUGAAAAAUUAAAUCACGUUUUUUUUUUUCAGAGGUAGAUAUCAUAGUGAGAUUAAUGAAGGCAAAUAAAGGAAACACUUCUUUGGUAGAAUAGUCAUCUGACACUUCACAGAUAGUGAGUGAAAGGAGGUAUUUGAGAAGCAAGCAAGGGAGAGAGAAGAUGGCUGGGAGCAGACUUUGGGGUCUGGGCGCUGGAGGGUCGAGGGGAGUUUCGGUGUGUUAGGACCAGUUCACAAACCCCUUUAGCACUUCCUGGGGAGGAGUACCCCGAUUCUGUUUUUGUAGCAUAGCUUUAGUGUAACAUCUGGCUUCACAUGGAGAUCUAUAUUUGCAUGCAUCUUCUUUGUAUAUGAACUUGAUUUUGCAGUGUUAGUUGCCAAGUAUCAUCAGUAUUAAAAACUGACAAUUUUUUAUACACCCUGAAGUGGAUUCUUAAAUGCUUAUUAAUUAGGAAGUUUUGCAUUACUUAUAAGAAUGUAAAAUAGAAACAUCGAAAGAAACCUUUCAAGCCUCCCCACACAGAUGCUUUAUAAUGUUAAAGCUGUCCCGUUAAUUUAUUACAGGCGAUGCUCUCCGAAUGUCUCUGAUGCUCUUGAUUUGAUCCAUUUACUAGGGAAUGCUGCAGCUGCUGGUCCGUUGAUCACACCUUGAGUAGCAAAGUUGUUCAAAGACACUGGCACGGAGUCUGCUGUUGACCUGUGGGGAGAGUGACCCAGAGUGGCCAGCAGCCCAGCUCCGCCAGCUGCACAGGCCCACCAGCAGCUGCCUGGGAGCUGUCCAGUCUCCAGGCGGGUUCUUUCUGUGCCUCGUUCUCCAUGCUGUCACCCUGAGAGAGCCACCCCUGCCAUGAGAUUACAGCUGAUCUAGAUUUCCUUCUUUUUGUCUUUGUGUAUCUUCUAAGUUUUCAUCAAUCAUCAUAUAUUAGUCUGUAAUUAGAAAAAAGUGAAUGCAUUCAUUUGUUAACUAGAAGUCUCCUCCUCCAAAUCUCUAUUGAUGGUUUUCCUUGGGUUUCUUUUGGCAUCUGAUCUGUUUAAAGAUCCUUGAGGGUAGGUCUUCGAGGAAGUUAUUACAGUUAACGCUUUAGGUGCCCUGCCCAUAUCACCUUUGGCUGUUACCUUUUAAAAAAAAUUUUGUGGUAAAAGACACAUGACACAAUAUUUACCAUUUAACCAUUUUUAAUGUACGGCAUUAACUAUAUUCACAUUGUUGUGCAACCAUUCCCAGCUUUCACCUCCAGAACUUUUUACAUUUGCAAAACUGAAACUAUACCCAUUAAACAAUAACUUCUCCUGCCUCCUUCCCCUCAGUCCCGUAGCAACCACCCAUUCUAUUUUCUGUUUCUAUGAAAUUGACUAUUCUGGGUUCCUCAUAUAAAUGGAGUCAUAUAAUAUUUGUCCUUUGGUGGCUGGCUCAUUUCACUUAGCAUUAAUGUCCUCAAGAUUCAUC